rnacentral:rRNA from 1 species
CAGCAGCCGCGGUAAUACGUAGGGUGCGAGCGUUAAUCGGAAUUACUGGGCGUAAAGCGUGCGCAGGCGGUUAUGUAAGACAGAUGUGAAAUCCCCGGGCUCAACCUGGGAACUGCAUUUGUGACUGCAUGGCUAGAGUACGGUAGAGGGGGAUGGAAUUCCGCGUGUAGCAGUGAAAUGCGUAGAUAUGCGGAGGAACACCGAUGGCGAAGGCAAUCCCCUGGACCUGUACUGACGCUCAUGCACGAAAGCGUGGGGAGCAAACAGGAUUAGAUACCCCCGUAGUCCCUGUCUCUUAUAA